rnacentral:rRNA from 1 species
AUUGAACGCUGGCGGCAGGCCUAACACAUGCAAGUCGAACGAGUGGCGGACGGGUGAGUAAUGUCUGGGAAAAUGCCCGAUGGAGGGGGAUAACUACUGGAAACGGUAGAUAAUACCGCAUACCAUCGGAUGUGCCCAGAUGGGAUUAGCUUGUAGGUGAGGUAACGGCUCACCUAGGCGACGAUCCCUAGCUGGUCUGAGAGGAGGACCAGCAACACUGGAACUGAGAGACCGUCCAGACUCCUACGGGAGGCAGCAGGGGGGAAUAUUGCACAAUGGGCGCAAGCCUGAUGCAGCCAUGCCGCGUGUAGGAAGAAGGCCUUCGGGUUGUAAAGUACUUGCAGCGGGGAGGCGUUACCCGCAGAAGAAGCACCGGCUAACUCCGUUCCAGCAGCCGCGGUAAUAC